CUGGCCUGUGUGUCCAACAUGGUGGCAACUUCAAGGGAACUUUGGGAAUUGUGACUUUUUGUGAAUGAAUCUGGACUCAUCAGAAGCAGCUUUAGCCUCAAAUUUCACCUCAAGAAAAGAAUGAAAGGAUAUAUUACAAAACAACAAAGAGACAACUACAAUACUCAUCCAACAAAGAGAGGAAGAGGAUGAGGACGAUGAGGCUGCUAGAAGAAUACAGAAACAACAAGAAAGAAGCUGGUGAUGAUGUUGACCUCUCCUACACUCCUCUUCCAGUAAACUAGAGCAGCCAGUCAGAAAAAUAAGAGGAGUUCAAUCAACAAGAAAAGAAACAGCAGACUUUGUGAUUCCAUUCAUUUAAAAAAAGAGAGGACGCUAAAAGACCUGAGGACACCUUGGUUCAAAGACAAGACGAGACCAGAGUCUUUGGACCAGGACAUCAUACUCAGUGACUCUCUUUAAAUACAAAGAUGAGUAUAGAUUUAUUCAGUUCU